GCUCUGUUGAAUUGAACACGAUCCAAAUAUAACAGUUGUACAAUUCAGUGUGUGACGUAGCCAAAGCGUGAACAUGAAUGAAUAACGAGAAAAACCUCAAGUUUCACGUUAGAUAAAAUUCAAAAAAUGUACCUCAGAAAUGGUGGAAACCAAAAUUAAUAGUCUAAAUAUAAGGUGGUAAUAUACAAUACUACACAACUCUCUCAACCUAUAUUCACACUAUCCACUUUUUUCAAACAAUUCACUCCAUGUCUAUUUCAAUAUUUAACUAUUUCUUUUGGUACUUGCAUAUUCCUUCACCAUUUCCUAUAGCUGACUUUGGAAUAUGUGCACUGACAAAGUGAAGUUACUUUUGACCGAAUUUAAUUGUAAAAGGGGUGGGUAGUUAGCUUUGUCUUGUUUAUGUUUUAUUUAGAAAUUGUCCCACCUUUCUCUCCACAAAACUUCCGCAAACUUGCCCUCUCUGCGUGAAUUCUCCUAAUUCGCCAUCUCUGCGUGAAAUUUAGAUUGGGCAAUAUUCUAAAAUAUUUUCAGGUUUUUUUCCACUUGUUCCUCGGAGUCCAUUCGACGGUGGAGAACAUGGCCGCACCUCAAGAGGGGCCUCUUACUCUGUUGAGACCGAACACUGUCAAUGUAACGUCGGACAUGGGAACUUAUUACAAAAUCAAGUAUUUAAAGAUGGUGGAGAAAAAUUUAAAGGAAAAGGUGGUCAAGGAUUAUUAGAUACAUUUUUAAAUGGUUGUUUUGGAUAUUUGUUGGACUGGAAUCCUGGUCCAAAAUGUGCAAUGGUCGUGCAUCAUAUAGUGUCCCGCCAAAUUAAGACCAACAGGGAUGAUCUAUAUUUUUUAUUGAAUAAUACGAAGGUCCAUUUUUCUUGAAGGGAUUAUGCUUUGGUGACUGGUCUUCAAUUCGGUGAUUUUGAUUUUGAUAUGUCAAAUAAUCAUGAUUUGAGUGAAGUGGAAGUGUUUAGGAGAUUUAGUGGUGGUCAGACGCAUGUUAAAUUGUCUUUUCUCAUUGAUCUUUUUGAAGAUUUUAAGAUUGAUGAUGAGGAUGGAAGUUUAUACUUGAGGAUUGCCUACCUUAUAGUCCUAUAUGGAAUGUUGGUAGGUUACGAGACCGAUAAAACAAUUGAAAAUUGGGUUUGGGCAUUAGUGGAUGAUCUUGAUGCAUUUAACCAAUUUUCGUGGGGGGCGUAUACUUAUAAUUUGUUGUGUCAUUACACUACAAAGUGUAUGUCCAAAAAAAAAUUAUAAAAUCUAUGGACCUGUUUGGGCGUUGCACGUGUGGUCACUCGAGAUCAUGCCCUACUUUGCUAAUGUGGUUGGCAAUUGUGUUGCUGAAUUUGCUCACCCUCGGUGUUUGAAGUGGAAGUUUCGGAGUAGACCGGCUACGAAGAAUUUGGAGCCCUUUUUUGAAAAAGAGGAGCAAGAGAUAUUGGAGUUGGUCCUCGACGAAUUUGAAAUCACGACUAUGUACUACUUGUCUACUCUUGGUAUUUAUAUGGGGGCACAGUACGAAGGUCAAGAACAACAACAAGAAGAAGAGUAAGAACAAGAACAAGAGCAUGAAGUAGCAUUGCAUGACACAAUUGUACAUGAUGAAGAAGUUUCUCUCCAUGAUAUACCUAUUCAUGCACAUGAUUUGCCCGCGACAAUGAUGGAUAGACGAGCGCGGAGUUCAUCCUCCCGCGAAAAGGGUUCUCGUAGACGAGUUAGGGAAAAGCGUGUGCGGCCGCCUACUACAUCUUCAUCCUCUAGUAGCAGCGAUCAUGCUAACCGUGUAGACUGUGCCUAUCUAGAUGCUGUUGUGAGGAGGAUGGAAGAGGCACAGGAGGAGAGAUUGAAAAGGCACAACGAAUCUAUAGAUGCACGGAUCACGAGGUCUUUCAAUGAGUUUUUAGUGGAAUUGAAGGGAAUUUUUAGUUGUAGAAGUGUUCAAGCUAGGGAUGUGCAUUCCCCUGCUCCUCAACCUACACCGGCACCCGAGGUAAGACAAUUUGAUGAUAUACGAGACGAGGGUGCCGAGGAAGGCGAUGUUCCUCAUGAUGAUGAUAAUGUGACACAAUCGCCAUAUGUUCUUCAGUUUUCUCAGUGUGAGUUUGGGAGCACAUCUUUUCUGGGCACUGAUGCCGAGAUCCCUCGUCUCGCCAACCCAACUGAUCAAAUGAGAGCAUGUUUGGAUUACAUGGGAGAGGAGAUGUGUAGUUUUGGCGAGCCCUCCCAACGCAUUGAGACGCUGGUAUUGCCUCGGAGAAGUACACGUCAAAGAUUUCCAUCUCAACAGUUGCAAAGAAAAUGUGUGACGAUGGUGAAAUUGUGAAGCCGAGGUCUAUUAUAGCCGACCUACAAAGGGAAUAUGGUGUCAAGAUCAGUUAUAGUGUAACAAUGUGUGCCCGUAAUGGUGCUGUGGAGAUGAUUUAUGGGGGGGGGCAUAAAGAAUGGGGGCAUAAAGAAUCUUAUUCAUUACUCCUCGGCUAUUUGCACAUGUUGCGGACGUGCAAUCCUGGAUUGUUGACGGACUUGGAAAUUGAUUGUGAUGGUCGGUUCAAGCACCUUUUCGUGGCACUCGGUUCUUGUAGAGUAAGGCCAAUAAUUGUGCUAGAAGGCACACACUUGAAGGGUCGUAACAAAGGUAUCUUGUUUGUUGCAGUCACGAAGGAUGGCAACGAACAAGUCUUCCCCCUGUCAUUCACCAUUGGUCCUAUAGAGAAUGAUGAAUCAUGGACGUGGUUUUGGUCUCAUUUGAAGAUGGCUUAUGGUGAGAAUCCUGAGACGUUGAUUGUUUCAGACGCACAUGUUAGCAUAGUGAACGCUAUAAAUGCGGUAUUUCCUGGUGUAUCACAUGGUUUGUGCUACUACCAUCUACUCAACAAAAUCACUCGAUUUGGCAAGGCAGCAGUUGCGCUAUAUCAGAAAGCGGCUUAUGCAUAUAGAGAAAGUGAGUUUGAUGCUGCGAUGGCAAGCUUAAAGGCUCUUAGGGAAGAAGGUGGAGCUUCUUGCAAAUUGAUGCAGGUUGCCCCAGAAAAAUGGGCAAGGUGUAAGUGCCCUGUUCGACGCUAUAAUUUUCUCACAUCAAAUAUUGCCUGAAUCGUUCAAUUCUCGUUUGUUGUGGGCAAGAAAGCUGCCUAUAUGCUCCAUGGUUGAGGCAAUCCGUCACAUCAUAGAGAAAUGGUUUGAUGAAAGACAUGAAGCUGCAAAGUCAUUUUCUGCUGAUGUUACACCGGAGGCACUACGCAAGCUCACUGUUGAAUUGGAGAGAUCACGGAGAUAUGAGGUCGUUGCCAUGUCCCCAUCUACUUUCAAGGUUAAGAGUUCCAACAAAACAUUCAAAGUAAAUCUAGAAAUGCAAUCGUGCACUUGUGUGGAGUGGGAUAUGAACAUGGUACCAUGUUCACAUGCAAUUGCAGCCAUCAUGCAUAUAGGUGAUGAUAUAUCUAAGCACGUUAGGGAUUAUUAUCAAGCUGCAAAACUAUGUGAGGCGUACUCCUAUCGAGUCAAUUCAGUGCCGCCACUUGCUUCAUGGACGAUUCCUGCAAAUAUCCAAGGUCUUGUCAUUGAUCCUCCUAAAAUCAGUCGACAAUCUGGACGUCCGAAGACUACACGCCAUCGGGGACCAACUGAGAGAACUACACAAAGACAAAGAGUUGGAUCAGAGAAUGCUCCUUCGAGUAGCACCAGUCGUGCCCCAAGAACAUGUAGUUUGUGUGGAUCUGAAACGUACACUGGAGACAUAUGUCCUUAUUUGGUGAGCAAUGACUGACAUAUUGGAGGAUGGUUGUUAUCCUAGACUUUAUCCAAGUUAUCUGUAUUUCAUUAAUUGUAAGAUGACAUAUCUUUCUAUGCGGAAUAAUUUGAUUUCCGGAUUAAUAUUUAUAUUUGUGCAAUUAUUAGGUUAGUCGAGAGCAU